UAAUACAGAGGGUGCUAACGUUGUUCGGAAUUACUGGGCAUAAAGCGCACGUAGGCGGCGCGUCAAGUGCGGGGUGAAAUCCCACGGCUUACCCGUGGAACAGCUUUGCAUACUGACGUGCUGGAGUGCGGUAGAGGAGAGCGGAACUCUUGGUGGAGCGGUGAAAUGCGUAGAUAUCAAGAGGAACACCAAAGGCGAAGGCAGCUCUCUGGGCCGUUACUGACGCUGAGGUGCGAAAGCCAGGGGAUCAAACGGG
rnacentral:rRNA from 1 species